rnacentral:rRNA from 1 species
GCGAGUGAAGCGGCAAGAGCUCAAAUUUGAAAUCUGGUACCUUUGGUGCCCGAGUUGUAAUUUGUAGAGCAGUACUUUUGUUAUGGGCUUUGCCUAUGUUCCUUGGAACAGGACGUCAUGGAGGGUGAUAAUCCCGUAUGGCGAGGUGACCGUAGCUAUGUGAGUAUUGUUCGACGAGUCGAGUUGUUUGGGAAUGCAGCUCUAAGUGGGUGGUAUACUCCAUCUAAAGCUAAAUAUCAGCGAGAGACCGAUAGCGAACAAGUACAGUGAUGGAAAGAUGAAAAGAACUUUGAAAAGAGAGUGAAAAAGUACGUGAAAUUGUUGAAAGGGAAGGGCAUUUGAUCAGACAUGGUAGGUAGUGCCCUGUGCUCCUUGUGGGUGCGGGAAUUUCGCUGCUUACUGGGCCAGCAUGAGUUUUGGGGCCUCGACAAAGACGCUGUAAUGUAGCUUUGCACAUUGUGUUUAGUGUUAUAGACAGUGUUAAUGGGGGCACCUGGGACUGAGGUCUGCGACUUUUGUCAAGGAUGCUGGCAUAAUGGUUAAAUGCCGCCC